rnacentral:rRNA from 1 species
CUUACCUGCAAGUCGAGCGGUAAGGCCCUUCGGGGUACACGAGCGGCGAACGGGUGAGUAACACGUGGGUAACCUGCCCUGUACUCUGGGAUAAGCCUUGGAAACGAGGUCUAAUACCGGAUACGACACUGGAUCGCAUGAUUCGGUGUGGAAAGUUCCGGCGGUAUGGGAUGGACCCGCGGCCUAUCAGCUUGUUGGUGGGGUAAUGGCCUACCAAGGCGACGACGGGUAGCCGGCCUGAGAGGGUGACCGGCCACACUGGGACUGAGACACGGCCCAGACUCCUACGGGAGGCAGCAGUGGGGAAUAUUGCACAAUGGGCGAAAGCCUGAUGCAGCGACGCCGCGUGAGGGAUGACGGCCUUCGGGUUGUAAACCUCUUUCAGCAGGGACGAAGCGCAAGUGACGGUACCUGCAGAAGAAGCACCGGCUAACUACGUGCCAGCAGCCGCGGUAAUACGUAGGGUGCGAGCGUUGUCCGGAAUUAUUGGGCGUAAAGAGCUCGUAGGCGGUUUGUCGCGUCGGCCGUGAAAACUUGGGGCUUAACUCCAAGCUUGCGGUCGAUACGGGCAGACUUGAGUU